rnacentral:rRNA from 2 species
AAGAGCUCGUAGGCGGUUUGUCGCGUCUGCUGUGAAAUCCCGAGGCUCAACCUCGGGCUUGCAGUGGGUACGGGCAGACUAGAGUGCGGUAGGGGAGAUUGGAAUUCCUGGUGUAGCGGUGGAAUGCGCAGAUAUCAGGAGGAACACCGAUGGCGAAGGCAGAUCUCUGGGCCGUAACUGACGCUGAGGAGCGAAAGCAUGGGGAGCGAACAGGAUUAGAUACCCUGGUAGUCCAUGCCGUAAACGUUGGGCGCUAGAUGUAGGGACCUUUCCACGGUUUCUGUGUCGUAGCUAACGCAUUAAGCGCCCCGCCUGGGGAGUACGGCCGCAAGGCUAAAACUCAAAGGAAUUGACGGGGGCCCGCACAAGCGGCGGAGCAUGCGGAUUAAUUCGAUGCAACGCGAAGAACCUUACCAAGGCUUGACAUACACCGGAAACGGCCAGAGAUGGUCGCCCCCUUGUGGUCGGUGUACAGGUGGUGCAUGGUUGUCGUCAGCUCGUGUCGUGAGAUGUUGGGUUAAGUCCCGCAACGAGCGCAACCCUCGUUCUAUGUUGCCAGCGGG